GAUGAACGCUGGCGGCGUGCUUAACACAUGCAAGUCGAACGGAAAGGCCCUUGCUUGCAGGGGUACUCGAGUGGCGAACGGGUGAGUAACACGUGGGUGAUCUGCCCUGCACUUCGGGAUAAGCCUGGGAAACUGGGUCUAAUACCGGAUAGGACCAUCGUUUAGUGUCGGUGGUGGAAAGUUUUUUCGGUGUGGGAUGAGCUCGCGGCCUAUCAGCUUGUUGGUGGGGUAAUGGCCUACCAAGGCGUCGACGGGUAGCCGGCCUGAGAGGGUGUACGGCCACAUUGGGACUGAGAUACGGCCCAGACUCCUACGGGAGGCAGCAGUGGGGAAUAUUGCACAAUGGGCGCAAGCCUGAUGCAGCGACGCCGCGUGAGGGAUGACGGCCUUCGGGUUGUAAACCUCUUUCAGUAGGGAAGAAGCGAAAGUGACGGUACCUGCAGAAGAAGCACCGGCUAACUACGUG
rnacentral:rRNA from 1 species